UCGAGCGGUAACAUGGAUAGCUUGCUAUUUGAUGACGAGCGGCGGACGGCUGAGUAACGCGUGGGAAUUUGCCCCAAAGUGAGGGAUAACUGCCCGAAAGGGUAGCUAAUACCGCAUAUGAUCUUCGGAUUAAAGGAUUUAUCCGCUUUGGGAGUGGCCCGCGUCGGAUUAGGUAGUUGGUGAGGUAAUGGCUCACCAAGCCGACGAUCCGUAGCUGGUCUGAGAGGAUGAUCAGCCAGACUGGAACUGAGACACGGUCCAGACUCCUACGGGAGGCAGCAGUAGGGAAUCUUCCACAAUGGGCGAAAGCCUGAUGGAGCAACGCCGCGUGAAGGAUGAAGGCCUUCGGGUUGUAAACUUCUUUUAUGAGUGAAGAAUAUGACGGUAACUCAUGAAUAAGCACCGGCUAACUACGUGCCAGCAGCCGCGGUCAUACGUAGGGUGCAAGCAUUAUCCGGAGUGACUGGGCGUAAAGAGUUGCGUAGGCGGUUUAAUAAGUGAAUAGUGAAACCUGGUGGCUCAACCAUACAGACUAUUAUUCAAACUGUUAAACUCGAGAGUGGUAGAGGUCACUGGAAUUUCUUGUGUAGGAGUGAAAUCCGUAGAUAUAAGAAGGAACACCGAUGGCGUAGGCAGGUGACUGGACCAUUUCUGACGCUAAGGCACGAAAGCGUGGGGAGCGAACCGGAUU
rnacentral:rRNA from 1 species